UGGGGAAUAUUGGUCAAUGGGGGAAACCCUGAACCAGCAACGCCGCGUGAAGGAAGAAGGCCUUCGGGUUGUAAACUUUUGUCUUCAGGGAAGAAUAAAUGACGGUACCUGAGGAGGAAGCCACGGCUAACUACGUGCCAGCAGCCGCGGUAAUACGUAGGUGGCAAGCGUUGUCCGGAAUUACUGGGUGUAAAGGGUGCGUAGGCGGGUAAUAAAGUCAGAUGUGAAAUGCCGGGGCUCAACUCCGGAAAUGCAUUUGAAACUCAUUAUCUUGAGUGAAGUAGAGGCAAGUGGAAUUCCCAGUGUAGCGGUGAAAUGCGUAGAUAUUGGGAGGAACACCAGUGGCGAAGGCGACUUGCUGGGCUUUAACUGACGCUGAGGCACGAAAGCAUGGGGAGCAAACAGG
rnacentral:rRNA from 1 species